GACUCUGUACCUGAAAGGGACUUUUCUUUGUUCCCAAUGCCCUUUCCCAUCUGCCCAAUCAAAGACCAGCUUUUAUGAAACCGGGCUCUCUGAUUGGCUAGCUGCUCCUCUCGGCUUCCGAAGGGGGUGAAAGGGAGAAACACACACGCAUACAUACAUAGAAGCCUUGUAUUUUGCAAUCCUCAAACUACAUUUAGUGCUACAGCAGGCAGCCUCCUGCUGCAGCAAGAUACAAAUCAUGUUUCCCAUUUCAAUUACAGCAUUAUCCUAUAUAACAUUUUAUGUCAAGACAACCAAAUAGGGAGGCGAGCAGCCCAGCCAAGCCUCACACAGUGGGAGGAGAAUUUCCUCAUUUUCUUUUUAAUUUAAUUUCAAGGCAGUUUUCAAAGCAAUGAUGGAUGAUUUUUCUGUUUCAAAGAGGCAAAUUAAAAUCUCACUCCGUUUUUAUAUGCCCCCUCAUUCAAAAUUGUAACAUUUUGACACGAAACCGAGAGAGAGAGGCUGUUACGUGAGUGCGAUCAUUUUCAUGUUUAGCGAAGGAGAAAAGCAAACAAUGUCUUAAGAAGGGGAGGCUCAGCAAAGAACAGAACUGGAUUCCAUUCCUCCCCCUCACCCAUCCCUGCGUUAGAGGGACACUCAAGCUAUACUGAAAUUUGUUGGGAGUAAAGAGUACACAUCACGCCAUAUGUUGUUUGGGUAGCAAUACUUAAAACUGCAUGGAAGGAACGAGGUAUGCUCCCCUGCCCUUUCUUUUAAAACAUAUCGCCUUUUGGUGCCAAUAGAGACGGGUCUAAUUUGCGCAGAUAAGCUUUUUAAGAAGAUGAAUUGGUACAAUCAGAGAAUAUUUAACAAGCAACAGAAAGUUGUGUUGCCUAUCUUCUCAGCAAAGCUCCUCUUUUUCUUUCCUUUAAAGGCUGAAGUGAGCCUGGAGUCCGGCAGCCAAUCAUCAUUAUGGAAAUAUGCUUUUAAGCCUUCUCAUUGGCUGAUACUCAGGCCAGUGUAUUCAGUUAGCAGCAAUACAGCCGAGUCUGCACACCGACCUCAGCCUGGUUUAUGCCUUUUGUGGAGGAGCGAGUCAGGUAUGGAAGGCAACUUCUGCAGGUGGAUCUGCUGCCUUCCAUAUGGAAGAGAGAUUCAGCUGCCUCAACAGCACCACUUCUGGAGUUGCAUUAAGGAAGUGAGAGGGAUGUAGCCAGGAGAAUCAUUCCCAUGGGAAAUCUGCACAAGCCCAGGCUGAAUUACCUUUUGUAUGAAACUACUCUGUCCUGUGGAACUCUUUCACGGGGCAGGAUCUCUGGGACAGCCACCUGUGUUUUCCCAGCAGCUGAAAGGAUGCAGGUGCUUAUGGAGAACCUGGGGAAGAUGUGAUUGUAUUCCUUUUAUUUCUCCCCAUUUUCACCUUAUUAAAAGGAGAAACUAUGCAUCUGAAAAGAAAAACAUGAAGAGGAGACCCCAGUGCCUUUACUUUGGAGUGCUGAGAGAUGGAGAAUGAAAAAGCCAUUGGUCUCAGUUUUACUACCACAAUGGCCUUUUAUGAGAGGGAUUAGAUACGCCUAGAACUGGUGCAGCAUUCAUCGCUGCCCUGGACAACAAUCUGGAAAAAAAGACAAUAAAAAUCAGUUUGUUGUAAGGUUAAAUCACCGCAGACUUGCUAGAUUGGCUUUUCAGAUAGUUUUUUGUUUGAGAAAGGAGAAAAAAAAGCAAAAUAUGUCUUAAAAGCUGAUUUCUCUCUCUCUCUCUCUUCCCCCCUUCAAGAUGUAGCAUUCAGAAAACAUGUUGAGCAAGUUGAGGCAUUAAAAAGAUCAGUCUUUGGCUGUUGAAUGAAAGACUAUUGUGCGUGUGACUCACAUACUAAAUGAAAAUCUGCCUUCAAAGCCUAUUUUACUGCCUAAUUAUAUAUACACAAAAUGUAGCUGUCUGUUUCAAUCAAAUCAUAGGAAAAGGAAUAAAACUCCUCUUAACAUGCAAUUUUCAUGGUUUGUCAUAACCUUAGAACACACACUGCUAAUGCAAAAGGAGGAAGUACAGCUGCAAGGUCCAGAUAAGGCUCAAGUAAUUGUUUUUCUUUUAAUUAUUACUUUAUAAAUACAUUAUACCUCCUACUCAGAAUAACGAAAAUUAGUGUCCUCUGUUUUUUUUAAAGAUUUUUCCUUUUUCAGAGAUAGCUCAUUGAUAUGCAUUUCAGGAGCAGCCAGCAGCCAUAAAAACUAAUUUUAAGUAACCUAUGUAAUAAAAAAAGCCUUCAGGAGGACUUUAGGGAUUCAAGCAUCCCAAAAUCUAUGUAUUGAAUGGAAUGUUCCUAUCCAUGACACCAAAUAUAAAGGGGAAAUGUUCUGCAAAUAUACAAUAAUAGUUUGCAAUCAUCUUUCUUGGAAAAUUUCAAGCUGUAGAACAUGUGCAAACCUUUUCUUUAAAUAGUGACAAAAACAUGUUAAAUUUCCUUAAAUUAUUUCAAUUCUUCUCAUUCGUGUUUGAAAGGGAUGUGGUUAAGUAUAUUAAAAAAGCUAAUUAUUUUUUUCAUCCUCUAAUAUACACGUCUUUUUUAGAAUAACCUAAACUGUAACAUUUAAUAGGCCAUUACUAAUUUACAUCCUCUCACAGAUACAAAUCAUUAAAAUGAAAUGAUGUUUUAAUGGCUUACUCAAUAUAUAUCUAAUUGCAGCUUAAAAGUUUCCAACUUCGAAUAUGGCAUGGCACUUGAUGUCUCAUGAAGAGACUCUAAGGUUCUUAUACUGAACUUGUUAUUGACUUCAGAGGAGUACUCCUGAAAAUAAGCAGUGGAAAAUAAUCAGGCCUUAAGUGUUCCAUUCACAAACAAAUAAGUUUUUACUCUUGGCACCUGGCACUGGCAUUAUACACUGAAAAAGAUGCUUAAAUUGAAAACUGGGUGGUGUCCAUUAAUGACGGAAUUAAAUAAUGGGCCUAACAUGUUCUAAUGUGUAAUAUACUUGCAUUCAUCCAGAAAAACCUUUUUUGGCAUCCUCUCCCACCAUCCAAUGAAAAUGUAGCAGCUUGGGCUACAACAUGGAGACUGGGGAACAUUUGGUAUUUUAAAAUGACUUACACAUUCUCUCUCUUUUUUAAUUGGGUGUGCCCUCUUUCUGGACUCUCUUCUUCUUUCAGGUAUUUUUUUUUUUUUUUUUGGUCAGAAAUAGUAGCAUUGCCAACUCUGGCUUGGUAGGGCAGAGCUCAGAAGAUGUACAUUGUUAGAUUUCACCUCUGAAUUGAAGAGGUGAGGUGUGGAAUUUUUAAACAAGCAGUCCCUCUCCCAGAACAUUAAUUAGUUAUUUAAAUUAAAUAGGUGUUAACAAAAGAGCAAAAUUUCAAACCAUUUGAUUAGAAAUUCCUUCCUUUCCCAGUUGCUCAACUUUCACUGUCUUGUGACAUCAUCAUUUUGCUCUCUCUCCACUUGCCAUUCUCCCAUCCCAGACAAAAACUGGAACAAACAGAAUCUGAACUUCAAAGUAAAAAUAAAGCAGAUUUUUUAAAUUUUAUGAAUUUAUUUAUUGUUAAAAUAAAAAUAAAAUAAAAUUGGCCCUCCUUAUUGUAGUCAGACAUUAGCACCAUUGUAGUUAAGAUAUCCCUGAUAUCACCCAGGGAUUUAUCUCAGCUAGUGUCCAGUGCCCAUUAGGUCUUUGGGGAAAGAAUACUUUAAAAGUUUUUCAAGAUUAAAAAAAAAGUUGGAUCUACAUUAUGACUCAAGCCCAUUUGUCAAGCCAGAGAAAGUCAUUGGCAUAUGUACAGCAAGAUUGGAGCUGUCACAAGCCAGUAUUUGGUGAUAUCUCAGAGUAAGUGGGUAGUAGCUCAAGGAUACAGGCUGUGGCUACUAAACCCAAACAGCUCCUAGGUACUGUAAGUUUGAGUCAUGCCUUGGGAAAUUUUCUGAGAAUGUGUGUUGUGCACAUUAGUUGCAUUCUGCAGGGGCUUCUUUGGAAGUUUUGCCCUGAGAGCAGAGUUUAAUAUUUCAGAGUACUCUAAAAUUUGCAUGCAUACUCUGAUUUUACUGUAGGGUAUUAUCAAGGAAAACAGCAUUAAUGAACUAGAGGGAAGAUGAAAGACUCCAAUAAGUAGCAGCGCUAAGGUAAUGUAAGCAUGCUGCAUGCUUUUCACCUAUUUCCUGAAUAGUGGUACUGAGCGUGAUCAAAGAAAGCAGGUAGCUUCCACUUUCAUCAAUGUGAUCAAAGGGGUUACUGAAUAGAGCUGGGCAGAAAGAUUACAAUUACAAACAGUUUUUUUGUUUGAACUUUCUAAUUAGUCAAAGUUAAGAUGUACUGCACAGAAAGCUUGAUUUUUGUCAAAGUUCCUCCAGAAACCAGGCAAGAUUCCAACAGAAACCUGCAUUGUUCCCUGCCAACUCUACUACUGGCUCCUCAGAAGCCCAUGGUUUGAGGAUAUACAGCACCCCACCAUGUGGAUUAUUUUGGGACUGGGGAACCCAGGGCUUUCAGGGUCUAUGACUCUGGGAUAGCCCACCAGAUGGACUGCCUCAGAGUCAUGGACCCCUUGACUUCCAGGGUCUGCAGCUCCAGGACAGCCCCUCCCAUAAAACUGCCCUAAAGCCAGAGAUCAAUCCCCUUUCUCAGGGAAUUUCAAAUGGGUGGCCUGUGGUAGAUAUUGACUAAUGCAGUACCACGAUACUGUCACCAAUCAAAACAAUACCUUAUGUUAUCAUGAAAAAUAAACAAAGAAAACAAAUUUCACUUUUCUACAAUAAUUCAUCCAAUCCAAUUUACCAAACCCAGUGUUCAUACCUAUCAAUUGUAUCCGUCAAAGUGCUGUAGUUCCUUGAAAAAAGGGGUGUGAAGGAGAGGUCAAACACUGUACACUGGAAAAAAUGUCAGUCACAUGGCACCUUUUUAAAAACAGACAGCAACCUCAAAUGAUAUUUUCCUCUACAAACUUCUACAGAAAAAUCAAACAGUGGACAAAAUACAAUACACGUUUAAAAGUGAUAUCAUAAUCCAAAAGAGUUUUUGUAGAUCUUUUUCAACCCCAUUAAAAUGGAAAUCUUGGUGUAACCUUAACUGUGGUGGCACUGCUACCAUAAUAUUACUAUGCCACAUUAGGCCAGGGAUAGUGUUAGUGGUUCAAGUUGAGGUAGUCAAGUUGAGGCAAGAUAUAAGUCUCAUUAUAUUUCAUGUUUUUUAGAGACUUAAAUGCAGGUUCACUUGAAGGGUAUGAGCCAUUGCCAGUCAACUUUAACUCUAUGUUAAUUAACUUUUGGGGUAAUGAAUGAAGGGGGAGGAGGCCCAUAGCUAUUUUCCCUCCCUUUGAAGCUCAUCUUUAAGCUUUCUCGAAAUAUCAUCAAAACAUAGUUUACUGCAGACCAUUGUGCCAGCCAUAGUGACCACACUUGAUGGCAUCAGACCAGGCAAGUAGUGAAGUUCCCAGAUCGGGAAUCCUGUGAAUCCACUAAUCUCUGGGGCAGCCUUGUGGGCAGUGCCUACUGGGUCAAGGCAUGCACCCCUUCACACAUCAAUGGAGAGUUUGAGAGCCCAGUCUGCUGGGGUGUUUUUGUGCAUCCCACUGUCAGAGGACAAGGAGCUCCCUGAUAUCUAGCAGUGAGUUUCAGAUGACCAAACCAGUUCAGUGUAUCUCAACUCACUAAUGUCAUAACCUAUAUCCCAUAGGUGUCAUGUAAGGAAUCAUCAUAAAAACUAACACACUGAUCUUUAUUCUUAUAUAUACAGUAAUUACCCAAAGGACUGUACAGUUGCACUGGAAAUGUGGGACUAAAAUGGUCCACACCAAACAAGUCUGGGUAGUUGAUAAACAAAUUUUAUUCAGAGGAAAGGAAAGGCCGAUGCCUCCAUCAAGGUGCAAUUACAAUCAAUUCAUUAUUCAUUUGUAUACCAGAGAUUGCAGGAACAGAUCAAUUGCAUUGUAGCAAUCACCAGCAAGGGGGGGGGGCAGGGGAUGAAUCAGCAUGGAGCCUUAUCCUUCGGACCUCAUGCUACUGUACUCAGUAUGAACUAAUGAACUUUAGCUGGAGGUACUCUUCAGACGAAUACAUUUCAAAGGUUCACUGGACUAUAAAAGAGAGGGGCAAAGAACCCCUGGGGUUCUCCUUCACCUUAGGAGGCAAAGAAGCAAGUGAUUAUGAUCUCUGUGAUAGAUCCUGGCCAAUAAAAGCUGGAAAGGACUCUCUGGGUAAAAGAAGCCAUCUAGAAAAAAAGACUAUCUUGCUAGAUUAAGUUUUAGUGUUUUAGAUGAGUGUUUUCACUUUCAUGUUUUGAAACCAUUUCUACCUUUAUUUCUUUUAGUUGGUGUUAACUUAUGGCUUUUUGUUAAUAAACUUUUUACUAUAUACCAACUCAGUACUGUAUUUAAAGGGACGGGUAUGUAUAUCCCAAUUACGUUAAUAAACUGUAAUGUACUGACUCUUUAAAAGAGCAGUUAACUUAAUGUCAUGUGUGAAUGCGCACUGGUAGGGGCUGUGCAUUGAAGAGAAACAUCUCUGAGGAGUUCGGGGGCCUGGAGUUCACUGAUUCUUACCUGCUAGGCGAGGUUCAGGCCAGGAGAGCCUUGAGAAGUUUGUUGGUGAGGAAGAGAGACUGGUGUGGCAAGAAGCUGACACAAUUUAAUCUAGCUAAGGCAGAGAAAUAACACAGUGGUUUGUAGCUCUGGGUGCUUCCAGCAGUGUAUUACAGCUACUUUUGAAUGUAAUAAGCAAUUGAAAGAAGAACAGGUCCCUGCAAGAUUGAUAUUUUGCAUAAAGUCAAACCACUUCAUGCUCAGGAUUUAGUGCUGACAGUUCAUAUGGAAUGCUUCUAGUCAUUCCAAGUCUGCCUGCAAGAGGGUCCAGGUUUCUGACCCAUAUAGCAAUACAAGUAGCACACAGGUUUGAUAGAUCCUGAACUUUGUCUCAGUGCAAAGACUUUUUUGCAUUCAUAACCGAGACAUGGACUUCAUGUAGGAGGCAGCAAGACCUGUUUGUUUGCUGCCACCAUUCAGAUAAUGCUUUCAGCAUAGGAGAUGAACUUGUCAAUUCUCUCUCUGGUUCUCUACCAUACCUGCACCAAGGGUUCUGGUGGCCCAACUCUGAGAUUCUGAACCGUGGUCUGCUGUCAUGUGAUGUUCCACUCAAUAGUGCAGGCAGUAUCUUGGAGACCUUGGAGAGUGGGGCUGAAAUUCUCCACAAGCAAGACAGUGUCAUCAGCGUAGUCUUGGUCAGCGAAGACUUCUUGACCAACCUCGAUUCAGACAUGUGGAAGGACAAGUCCUAAUACCCAGUCGAUAGCUGAACAGAAUAGUGCCAGGGCAAGAAUGCAUCCCUGCGCACACUUGAGGCUGUGUAGAAAUAUGGCAAGAGCCCAUGGCAAGAGCCCAAGCUUUCCUCAAAUAGAGUGCUGGAAAAACAUGAUGUUCUUUUUUUAAUAUCUGGGAUAUUUAGCUAUUAGGGUUAGAGUUAGUGUGGUUUCUUUUUGCAUCAUGGUUUUCAUAUAAAAGUACUUAGUAAUAAAACAUGAGAAAAGAGAAUACAAUGUACUAUGCAUACAGAUUUGUUCUAACAUUCAAUUACUGGAGUAAGUGUGAAAGGUUCUAAACUGGCAGCUCAGGAGAUGAAAUGUCUUUAGUACUUUAUAUUUCUUUUGCUCUUUCCAUGAAGAGCUCAAAAGACUUCGCAAAUAAUUAGUCAAUCCUCAGAAUAUCCCUGUGAAGUAUGAUGCAGCCCCUAGAUGCCACAGACACAGGUACCUUUGAUAUAAACAUGGAGAUGAUAAUACCUAGCCAUUGUUCAGCAGGGCAAGCUAAGGCAACUUGCUGUUAAGUCCACACAGGAAGUCUGGCAGAGCCAUGAUUGAUCUUUGGACUCUGCCACUUUAUAGCAAAACAAGGAAAAGUAGAAGAAAAAUAAAAUUUUGUGUAUUGUAUGCCUCUAGCUGAA